AUGGUACCCCCUGGCCCAACAGAAAAUACACAAGAAUUAAAAAAAAAAAAGACAAUUAUUAAAAUACUGGCUUCGGUUUCUUUUUUCCUUUCAAAUCUCCUGCAAGUGCUUCAUUUAUUUAUAUGCAGCACUGGCUUUUCUUUUUUCCAUGAACCUAGUCAAACUCAAAUCUUCAUUAGAUGUCCCAGUUCCAGCCAGCCCUCCAGCAUCUUUGCAUUCAGACGGAUGGAAAGUACAUCAUCUUCUCAGGUUGACUCAGUCUAUAAAUUAGGGGCUAGCAAUUUCCCACCGAAAGUCCACACCCUGACAUGAAGAAAUGGGGCCAAAGGCCAUCUGAUUUCCUCACCACUCCACCUGUUCUGUGCCUCUACAGCGUUGAUGCAGCACAGGAAACAGGGAUGAGCAUGUGAGGCAUUGGUGGGAUUAAGGUGGUGGUGCCUACACAGAGUCGCAGGAGAGGACUGGCAUAUCUGCGAGGGAGAAAACGCAGCCUAUGUAAGCCCUUCAGAAAACAGCCAGGCAACGGCGUUCCUUUCCCUUGGCUAUGACACAUCAAAGCACCUGCCAAGCACCCAGGUAACGGUCAGCGUCCACAUGGCCUGGAAUCCCACAGCCUUCCCUGGCAUCUGUUCAGCCUCAGGAUUGCGUUCCACACUCAUCUCUCGGGUUAGACUUAGUUCCAGAACUCCUGGACACUUUUUCCAAAGUGGGUUCUCCCUUGGGAUUCAAGCUGCAAGUUCAUAAGAAAGGAAGAUGGCACUUGUGGCCAGCAAAGUAUGAGGAAGUGAAGUGAAUUCGCUCAGUCGUGUCCGACGCCUUGUGACCCCAUGGACUGUAGCCUACAAGGCUCCUCUGUCCAUGGAGUUUUCCANNNNNNNNNNNNNNNNNNNNNNNNNNUUUCCUUCUCCAGGGGAUCUUCCCCACCCAGGGAUUGAAUCUGGGUCUCCAGAAUUGCAGGCAGACACUUUACCGUCUGGGCCACCAGAGAAGUGGCCAGCAAAGUAUGAGGAAGCCAGGCAAAAAAAAAAAAAAAACAUCUUCAUGGAGCAAGCAAAAGGAAGCACUUGCAACUGAGGAUGCUCCGGAGCCCAGGAUCUUGCCCAACAAGUGAAAAAUAACAGGUGACAUUGGCUUCACCAGGCUUUAAGGGACAUCCAAAUAAAAAGUCAACAAUAACCAAAUCACCUAAAGCCGCAAAUAAGAUCUAAGAAAGGGAAGGGUACAAAGUCCACGCAUGUGACCACGUUCUGCUGAGAUGGGGUAAUCCAUAAAGAUUACAAAGGGCUGCGUCUGGGCUUCCCCUGGGCAGAUAUUCUUAUGGCAGUGAGAUGCAGGUCAAAUGGUGAAGAAGAAAGACAUCAAUAUCUUUGAGAAAGAUGUAGUCAGAAGGAAGAAGGAAAACGUCGUCUUCAUACCUCCAGGGAGGUAGCUAUUCCUCCCUGUUCUCCAACACCAGGCUCUGGAAACCACUGCUGGCUACUGUCCCAAUGUUCAUGAACCUAAGCUGUCAGCCGGCUCCUGUGCCUUCCGAUGGUGUAUGUGGUGGCUGCUUGAGCCCCAUGUGUUCAGCUCAGUUGCUGGCCCCUUUCCAGGCUCACUGGCCACUUGCCCUUAAGAGUUUGAUACAGCACCUGGAAACAGAAGCCCACCUGCUCACGGUUAUCAGAGACUGCCCUUGCAGAACAGACCAAGCCAACAACCAGCCUUAUUUCCUUCUUUCACUCAUUGCUGACUUUGAUCAAUCUGAAAGUCAGUAGCUGAAAGUAACCUUCUGCCCACUUUAACUUGCAAAGUGUGUACUGUUCAGAGUUUCUGACUUGUUCUCCAACCAAGUCUGCUUAUUUUUUGGCAAGGAUAGGAUGAAGCCUAUUGCUCCCCAAGACAGAUAGGCUGGGCUGGGCACUGCCUACUCCUAGUGGGGUUUAUACGCAGGAUUUAUCUUGUACACACACAGUUCUUUGAAGCUAAAUUCAAUGCUUUCAUCUUGACUACAAAGUGGUUCCAACAACUCCAGCUGAGGGAGAAGAUAAGAUACAAAUUGGGCCCAUACUACACAUAAUUUUCAAGUCUCAUUAAGGAAGUAAAAAAUGUUGGAGUACAUUUUGAUCCAUGGGUGGGAUUUUCAAGUGUGCAAAAAUGAAAAAAGCCUUGGAGGAGAGUCCUUUGCACUAUAAAGUCUGUCCUUCCUUUUGCCAUCAGUGGUAGUUCAGAGUAAUUCAUCCACAAAUCAUGGAAUCCAAAAAGGGUAAACCAAAGGGAUUGAAAAAGAGUCCCUUACAAAGAAUAAGAACCCCUGUAACAUCUAUAUCUGAGAAUACUAUAUAAACCAGCGAGUAGACGUGCCACCGGGAGCUACUCACCACAUUACCAAAAACAAAAACAAGAAACCUAACUGGCAGGAUGGCGCCAUCUGCUCGAAAAUAGCUAACCGGCCAAGACUGCCACCUAGCGGCAGUCUGCCUCUGACAGAUGGGCGACUCUGAACACUUCUGAAGUCUGACUGUGUUCUGCGAGGGCGCCCCAGAGGUCGGGUGCUGUCCGCUGCCUGGUGGUAGAGCAAGAUGCAGCGAGGAGAGCCUCAGCUCCUCCGUGGUUUACGAUCACCUGCAGUCCCCUUAGUCUAUGGCUCCUGGGUGGAUACUGAGCACGGGGGGCUCCAGGCAAGUGGGGGAGUAGUUGAGGUGUGGCUCCUUGAUCCACAACAGGGGCACCCCAUUCUUCCCCUCGGAGUUCUUGCUGGAGUUCCGGCUCUUGAAGCGCACCAGCAGGAUGGUGAUGAUAAGGAUGCCAAAGAUGGGGAAAGGGUAGAAGAAGACGAAGUAGAAGAGUGCGUCAUUGGAGCAGAUGAUGGACU
ensembl:lncRNA